rnacentral:rRNA from 1 species
CCUACGGGGGGCAGCAGUGAGGAAUAUUGGUCAAUGGGCGAGAGCCUGAACCAGCCAAGUCGCGUGAGGGAGUACUGCCCUAUGGGUUGUCAACCUCUUUUGUCGGGGAGCAAAAGCCGGACGUGUCCGGCUGUGAGAGUACCCGAAGAAAAAGCAUCGGCUAACUCCGUGCCAGCAGCCGCGGUAAUACGGAGGAUGCGAGCGUUAUCCGGAUUUAUGGGGUUUAAAGGGUGCGCAGGCGGAUGUUUAAGUCAGCGGUCAAAUCGUGGGGCUCAACCCCAUCCAGCCGUUGAAACUGGGGAUCUAGAGUGUGCGAGAGGUAUGCGGAAGGCGUGGUGUAGCGGUGAAAUGCAUAGAUAUCACGCAGAACCCCGAUUGCGAAGGCAGCAUACCGGUGCACAACUGACGCUCAGGCACGAAAGCGUGGGUAUCGAACAGGAUUAGAUACCCCGGUAGUC